rnacentral:rRNA from 1 species
GAUGAACGCUGGCGGCGUGCCUAAUACAUGCAAGUCGAGCGAACAGAUAAGGAGCUUGCUCCUUUGACGUUAGCGGCGGACGGGUGAGUAACACGUGGGUAACCUAUCUAUAAGACUGGAAUAACUCCGGGAAACCGGGGCUAAUGCCGGAUAACAUGUUGAACCGCAUGGUUCUACAGUGAAAGGCGGCUUUGCUGUCACUUAUAGAUGGACCCGCGCCGUAUUAGCUAGUUGGUGAGGUAACGGCUCACCAAGGCAACGAUACGUAGCCGACCUGAGAGGGUGAUAGACCACACUGGAACUGAGCCACGGUCCAGACUCCUACGGGAGGCAGCAGUAGGGAAUCUUCCGCAAUGGGCGAAAGCCUGACGGAGCAACGCCGCGUGAGUGAUGAAGGUCUUCGGAUCGUAAAACUCUGUUAUUAGGGAAGAACAAAUGCGUAAGUAACUGUGCGCGUCUUGACGGUACCUAAUCAGAAAGCCACGGCUAACUACGUG